GCUGGGCUUGGUAGCGCGAGCUUGUAAACCAAGCGGGAGCAUUAAGAUGAUGGAAUAGGUGGGCUUGCCUUGAAGGUUGGGCUGGGGUUGCUAUCUACUGGCCUGCCUAUUCCAAGUGGUGAGUUGUACGGUGGAGUUUCUGCGAAGGCACAGGCUUCACUGUCCUUAGAUCGGAGGGCUGGCUUCACAGAGCAGCAAUAACCUCCUCCUCUCUGCGGUGGAAGGAUAACUGGCUGGUACGACCUCAGUUCACUAGCACUUGAUGGGCUGCCUAGGUGAACCACCAUCAUU
rnacentral:SRP_RNA from 1 species